AUAAACGCAAAGGUAGGAGGGGAGAUUAACAUACCUAUCAGAAACCCAACGAAACACAUACGACUCUGUCAAGACAGAUUUCAGCUUGAAUAACCAAGUCCCUCAUAAUGACUCCGGUGAACACAGUAUGCCAGGUCGGACUGAUAGUCCUGAUUCUGUCUGUGUUCGCAACGUGCAUGACGCCGGAGGAACAGAGUGACGCAAUGAAGGCGGUUGUUAAAAAGCUUCAAGACAACAUUGAGGCGACACAAAAUGCAGGCGAAAAGCGAGAUGUCCCGGUUAAAGAAGAUAUAAUUGUACCAGUAGAUGCCAAACUACUAUAUGGUAAUGGUGUCCCCAAAAGCGCAUCUCGGUAAUAAAGUCUCCUAACAGAAAGGAUGUGGCAGUCCAACAACAUGUUCAACCGUUAUACACUUCUCGGACUUUGAUGUAUUAAGUAAAUACAUGUAUUAAACCUGCGGUCUAUUGUGCA